GAGAAGACCCGAGGCCUCUGCUACGAACACUGGCAGCCGAUGGAAAAUUCAGACGGAUUUGGGACAGUAUGCAGAGUUCUCCAAGCGACAGAUUAACAGAGGCUCUUGAAGAAUAACUGCGUAAUCACGUGUUCUGCUCAAAAGAAGGCCUGAAUGCCCAGUGCCUUAUUUGGCUUUCAGGACAGGGUCUUGCGGUGUCACCCAGGCUAGAGUACAGUGGUGCAAUCAUAGCUCACUGCUGCCUCAAACUCCUAGACUCAAGCAAUCCUCCUGCUUCAGCCUCCCGAGUAGCUGGGACUACAGGUAGAUGAUGGGCUCCACGGGAACAGAGCAAACGUUCGCUCCUGCUCCUACACGGUGUUUCCUCUAAACCUGAGGCUCAGCCGACUUGUCAUCACUUAAAACCCAAUUCAGAGCGGGGGGGCACUGCCAGUGAAUAGUUCAUCACCGACUCAGUUUCCCCAUGUGUAUGCUGUGGUAUUGGAUCAGCAACGAGAUAAGAAGAUCUCUCCCAUUUCCAAGCGUCUAUGAUGAUUCUGAGGCACAAGGUCACAUUUGACAGUACUAGGAAACCCAGGAAACAAGAAGCAAAGAUGACAAAGGCUGUGUCUGCCUGGGCAGACGAUCUAUUUGGACAAGAUAAUAGACCCAGGCAUGGACAUGCUCUCCAAGAAAGAUGCCCUGACAGCUGCUCACACUGAAGCUGAAUCGAACAUUCCAAUCCUUAGAGGUUCCAGCGAAGAUCUUGAAGUCUCCCUGAGCCAUUGACACAAUGGCCAUGCCAUCCCAGUGAUAAAACACAAAUUGUGGCCUUGUUUUGGACAGAAAUAAAGAGCCCAGUUUGUUAGUGAUUUACUGAUAAUAACUGAAUCGAGUACUAAUACUUGGCGAUUUUAAAAGCCAUCAUGUUAAAAAGACCACCUGAUUCCCAGUGACCCUGCAGUGACUGGGUUUGGGCAGCUCGUCCCCUGCACCUGUUUGGGGCUGUGCCAGCCACUUCCAGUGAGAACAUCGCAUUAACUUGCGGUCGCAGACCUGGCUGGACCCCUUGAACCAAAUUCCUUUCUGACCUUAUCAGACCCCAAAUAAAAGAGCUCACCAGGCCCCUCAGCCUACGUGACCCACCUGCCCAGUGAAAAAAGUAGGGCCCUGUUCUGUUCUCUGAGGAUGGUCAGUGUGCUCUUUGAUGAAAACGGUUUCUAAGCUGAGGCCUGAGACCUAGAUCAUUGUUCUCACAGCGUGUGCUUGACCAGCCACACCAGAAGCACCCAGGCUGCUGGCUAAAAACACUGAUGCUGGGGCCCACCCUAGCCCCUGGGUAGGGGGUAGAGACCUAAGGUUUGGCAUUUUUACAAGCUCCUAGGGUGAUUCUUAGAUGCCCUGAUGAUUGAGAACCACUGCUCGAGCUUCUUAAAUGGCUGCUGAAGAAUGAUU